rnacentral:rRNA from 1 species
AUUGAACGCUGGCGGCAUGCUUUACACAUGCAAGUCGAACGGCAGCGCGGGCUUCGGCCUGGCGGCGAGUGGCGAACGGGUGAGUAAUGCAUCGGAACGUGCCCAGCAGUGGGGGAUAGGCCGGCGAAAGCCGGAUUAAUACCGCAUACGACCAGAGGGUGAAAGCGGGGGACCGAAAGGCCUCGCGCGAUUGGAGGUGACGAUGUCGGAUUAGCUAGUUGGUGGGGUAAAGGCGUACCAAGGCGACGAUCCGUAGCUGGUCUGAGAGGACGACCAGCCACACUGGGACUGAGACACGGCCCAGACUCCUACGGGAGGCAGCAGUGGGGAAUUUUGGACAAUGGGGGCAACCCUGAUCCAGCCAUGCCGCGUGCGGGAAGAAGGCCUUCGGGUUGUAAACCGCUUUUGUUCGGGAAGAACUCCUCUGGGCUAAUACCCCGGGGGGAUGACGGUACCGGAAGAAUAAGCACCGGCUAACUACGUG